rnacentral:rRNA from 2 species
CUCGGCCUCAGAUCAGACAAGGCUACCC